rnacentral:rRNA from 1 species
UACGUAGGGUGCAAGCGUUGUCCGGAAUUAUUGGGCGUAAAGAGCUCGUAGGUGGCCUGUCGCGUCGGCUGUGAAAACUCGGGGCUCAACUCCGAGCUUGCAGUCGAUACGGGCAGGCUAGAGUUCGGCAGGGGGAGACUGGAAUUCCUGGUGUAGCGGUGAAAUGCGCAGAUAUCAGGAGGAACACCGGUGGCGAAGGCGGGUCUCUGGGCCGAUACUGACGCUGAGGAGCGAAAGCCAGGGGAGCAAACGGG